rnacentral:rRNA from 1 species
CGAACGCUGGCGGCGUGCUUAACACAUGCACGUCGAACGGAAAGGCCUCUUUCGGGGGGUACUCGAGUGGCGAACGGGUGAGUAACACGUGAGUAACCUGCCCUUGACUUUGGGAUAACUUCAGGAAACUGGGGCUAAUACCGGAUAGGAGCUCCUGCUGCAUGGUGGGGGUUGGAAAGUUUCGGCGGUUGGGGAUGGACUCGCGGCUUAUCAGCUUGUUGGUGGGGUAGUGGCUUACCAAGGCUUUGACGGGUAGCCGGCCUGAGAGGGUGACCGGCCACAGUGGGACUGAGAUACGGCCCAGACUCCUACGGGAGGCAGCAGUGGGGAAUAUUGCACAAUGGGUGGAAGCCUGAUGCAGCAACGCCGUGUGCGGGAUGACGGCCUUCGGGUUGUAAACCGCUUUCGCUCAUGACGAAGCUUUGUGUGACGGUAGUGGGUAAAGAAGCACCGGCUAACUACGUG